rnacentral:tRNA from 2 species
CGGGGCGUGGCGCAGCCCGGUAGCGCACCUGCUUUGGGAGCAGGGGGUCGGAGGUUCGAAUCCUCUCGCCCCGACCA